AAGCAUGGUGGGAAAAAAGUCUAAGCAUUUCCCUGAAACGCUCCCACGCAACAUAUAGAGACUCCCCAUAUUUUAUAUUAAACCGCGUGAUUUUAUCUCUUAGUUU
rfam:Medicago truncatula strain A17 unplaced genomic scaffold scaffold0042, whole genome shotgun sequence.